GGCGGAAUGGCCGAGCGGUCUAAGGCGCUAGAAUCAGGUGACUCGUCAGCUAUCUAGUCCGAAAGGGCGCGAGUUCGAAUCUCGCUUCCGUCA
rnacentral:tRNA from 1 species